rnacentral:rRNA from 1 species
AUUGAACGCUGGCGGCGUGCUUAACACAUGCAAGUCGUGCGGUAACAGGCGUAGCAAUACGUGCUGACGAGCGGCGAACGGGUGCGUAAUACAUGGGAACCUGCCUUUUAGUGGGGAAUAACCCGGCGAAAGCCGGGCUAAUGCCGCAUAAGAUCUUCGGAUGAAAGCGGGGGAUCGUAAGACCUCGCGCUGAUAGAUGAGCCCAUGCCGGAUUAGCUAGNGGUGAGGUAACGGCUCACCAAGGCGACGAUCCGUAGCUGGUCUGAGAGGACGGCCAGCCACACUGGGACUGAGACACGGCCCAGACUCCUACGGGAGGCAGCAGUGGGGAAUAUUGGACAAGUGGGGAAACCCUGAUCCAGCGACCGCCGCGUGUGU